rnacentral:rRNA from 1 species
UACAGAGACUGCAAGCGUUAUUCGGAUUCACUGGGCGUAAAGGGUGCGCAGGCGGUCGGGUGUGUCAGAUGUGAAAUCCCGGGGCUCAACCUCGGAACUGCCUUUGAUACUGGAGAUCUUGAGUCCGGAAGAGGUAAGUGGAACUGCGAGUGUAGAGGUGAAAUUCGUAGAUAUUCGCAAGAACACCAGUGGCGAAGCGGCUUCUGGUCCGGAACUACGCUGAGG